rnacentral:rRNA from 1 species
AUUGAACGCUGGCGGCAGGCUUAACACAUGCAAGUCGAACGGUAACAGGAGAAAGCUUGCUUUCUUGCUGACGAGUGGCGGACGGGUGAGUAAUGCUUGGGAAUCUGGCUUAUGGAGGGGGAUAACGACGGGAAACUGUCGCUAAUACCGCGUAGAAUCGAGAGAUGAAAGUGCGGGACCGCAAGGCCGCAUGCCAUAGGAUGAGCCCAAGUGGGGUUAGGUAGUUGGUGGGGUAAAGGCCUACCAAGCCGACGAUCUCUAGCUGGUCUGAGAGGAUGACCAGCCACACCGGGACUGAGACACGGCCCGGACUCCUACGGGAGGCAGCAGUGGGGAAUAUUGCGCAAUGGGGGCAACCCUGACGCAGCCAUGCCGCGUGAAUGAAGAAGGCCUUCGGGUUGUAAAGUUCUUUCGGUAUUGAGGAAGGUUGUUGUGUUAAUAGCACGACAAAUUGACGUUAAAUACAGAAGAAGCACCGGCUAACUCCGUGCCAGCAGCCGCGGUAAUACGGAGGGUGCGAGCGUUAAUCGGAAUAACUGGGCGUAAAGGGCACGCAGGCGGACUUUUAAGUGAGGUGUGAAAUCCCCGGGCUUAACCUGGGAAUUGCAUUUCAGACUGGGAGUCUAGAGUACUUUAGGGAGGGGUAGAAUUCCACGUGUAGCGGUGAAAUGCGUAGAGAUGUGGAGGAAUACCGAAGGCGAAGGCAGCCCCUUGGGAAUGUACUGACGCUCAUGUGCGAAAGCGUGGGGAGCAAACAGG